UGAUGCUCCACCCUUCGUUGUUCAGAUCCACUGCUGCUUCUCGAAGACUCCCGUGCGCACAGGUCGACGCCUUCGCUGGAGGUGCUACUACGGAUGAUAUAUAUAGCCCUAGGUUUUCCCUUCCCCUUGCUUCGGAAUUCUGAUGCCAUGUUGGAGGAACCGGAGCUUCACAGACAUCCUAUGCAGCCAAGGGGUACUGAAUAAUAUCAAGCAAAGUUGGAAGGCAUGGGAUUUCUUUCUGAUCCAGGAGGGAGUUCACAUGCUCAACACUCGACAGUCCACUUCCAAGGCAUGAUAGCUGUUGGGGAGGAAAAGGCAAUGGACUAUACAAGACAAGAUACCUGUAUCAAUUAAGCUGCAUUGCUAUGAUGCAAUUGGUCAUCGUGUUCAACUUGCAAGUUCGCUGCUGGUGGACUCUAUGCCACAAAGUGAAGCUAAGAUACAACAUGAUGUUCCUACGCUGCGAAUGUCUUAAGAGUCGUUCGUUCCAUGCUGACAGGCCAGGAGCCAACUGGAGGAAGGUAUAGUGCAAUGGAAGUACUAGAGGAAUCUUGAUAUAGGGGGAGCUGGAGGAACUCUGACAGAUGAGAUUUGAGCGUGAUGCAUACUUCUGCAACUGAUGAAAAUGUUCUGAAGUAUGGACUGUGAUCACCCUGAUGACUGCUGGGGAGAAGACGUUGAAAAUGCAAAGGACUACACGUGUACACCGCACGAGAUGCUGCUACUAAUUAAGCAUUUAAGCUGCAUAUACAUACUGUUAUGCCGCAAUUGGCCAUCACUUCAGCUCUCGAAACAUCCCUGCUGGCUGCCGGCCUUUGAUAUCGUGCAAGGCGAAGCUGGAGGGAUCCUGAAAUUUUGCCGCUGUGAAUGGAAGAUGAAUGCAUUGAUCUUGAGGCUUCAAUGUGGCAGAGGCGAGUACACCAUUUUGAGAUCUCAGAAGGAGUUUACAAGUUAAAAUUGUCGGCCCAGAUGAAAAAUCGGUUCUUGGGGAACACCAUUGAAUGGAGUGGCUGAUCAACCUGAUGAGAAGACCUGCAAUUUUGAAUACAGAAUUGCUCUGUUUUCUAGUACUCUGUUGUUUUGUAGAGAUGGUGCAUUACUCUCCAUUUGUUGCUGCAACAAUGUACUAUGUGUUUGUUUGUAAACAGAGAAUGAUGACUGCAUCAGUUUUUUUUCCCCUAAAAGGAGGAUUACACUCGGCCUUUGCAUCAAGCAAUGAACACAGCCAUAAAUGAUUGCAU